rnacentral:rRNA from 1 species
AACGAACGUUGGCGGCGUGGAUUAGGCAUGCAAGUCGGGGGAAUCCGCCGCAAGGCGGGGAACCGGCGUAAGGGGCAGUAAGGCAUGGGUACCUACCCCGGGGUUCGGAAUAGCCACCAGAAAUGGUGGGUAAUACCGGAUGACCUCGUGAGAGCAAAGAUUUAUCGCCCUGGGAGGGGCCCAUGUGAUAUUAGCUAGUUGGUGAGGUAACGGCUCACCAAGGCGAAGAUGUCUAGCGGGUGUGAGAGCACGACCCGCGCCACUCGCACUGAGACACUGGCGAGACACCUACGGGUGGCUG